UUAAGUGACUAAGCGUACACGGUGGAUGCCUUGGCAGUCAGAGGCGAUGAAAGACGUAGUAACUUGCGAUAAGCCCAGAUUAGGUAGUAACAACCAUUUGAGUCUGGGAUUUCUGAAUGGGGAAACCCACGUGCAUAAGCACGUAUCCUUACCUGAAUACAUAGGGUAAGGAGGCGAACCGGGGGAACUGAAACAUCUAAGUACCCCGAGGAAAAGAAAUCAACCGAGAUUCCGAAAGUAGCGGCGAGCGAAAUUGGACUAGCCCUUAAGCUUUACACGCGUUAGACGAACGGUCUGGAAAGUCCGACGAUACAGGGUGAUAGUCCCGUAGUUGACGACGUGUGUUCAGUGAAAUCGAGUAGGGCGGGACACGUGAUAUCCUGUCUGAAUAUGGGGGGACCAUCCUCCAAGGCUAAAUACUACUGACUGACCGAUAGUGAACCAGUACCGUGAGGGAAAGGCGAAAAGAACCCCUGUGAGGGGAGUGAAAUAGAACCUGAAACCGUGUACGUACAAGCAGUAGGAGCAGGCUUUGUCCUGUGACUGCGUACCUUUUGUAUAAUGGGUCAGCGACUUAUAUUCAGUGGCAAGGUUAACCAUCUAGGGGAGCCGUAGGGAAACCGAGUCUUAACUGGGCGUUCAGUCUCUGGAUAUAGACCCGAAACCAGGUGAUCUAGCCAUGGGCAGGUUGAAGGUUGAGUAACAUCAACUGGAGGACCGAACCGACUAAUGUUGAAAAAUUAGCGGAUGACUUGUGGCUAGGGGUGAAAGGCCAAUCAAACCUGGAGAUAGCUGGUUCUCCCCGAAAGCUAUUUAGGUAGCGCCUCGGACGAAUACUACUGGGGGUAGAGCACUGUUAAGGCUAGGGGGUCAUCCCGACUUACCAACCCUUUGCAAACUCCGAAUACCAGUAAGUACUAUCCGGGAGACACACGGCGGGUGCUAACGUCCGUCGUGGAGAGGGAAACAACCCAGACCGCCAGCUAAGGUCCCAAAUUACUACUAAGUGGGAAACGAUGUGGGAAGGCUCAGACAGCCAGGAUGUUGGCUUAGAAGCAGCCAUCAUUUAAAGAAAGCGUAAUAGCUCACUGGUCGAGUCGGCCUGCGCGGAAGAUGUAACGGGGCUAAGUAGUAAACCGAAGCUGCGGCAAUAUACUUUUGUAUAUUGGGUAGGGGAGCGUUCUGUAAGCGGUUGAAGGUGUGUGGUAACGCAUGCUGGACGUAUCAGAAGUGCGAAUGCUGACAUGAGUAACGAUAAAGGGGGUGAAAAACCUCCUCGCCGGAAGACCAAGGGUUCCUGUCCAACGUUAAUCGGGGCAGGGUAAGUCGACCCCUAAGGCGAGGCCGAAAGGCGUAGUCGAUGGGAAACGGGUUAAUAUUCCCGUACUUCUUACAAUUGCGAUGGGGGGACGGAGAAGGCUAGGUGGGCCUGGCGACGGUUGUCCAGGUUCAAGUGCGUAGGCUUAAGAGUUAGGUAAAUCCGGCUCUUUUUAAGGCUGAGACACGACGUCGAGCAUCUACGGAUGUGAAGUCAUUGAUGCCAUGCUUCCAGGAAAAGCCUCUAAGCUUCAGAUUGUAAGGAAUCGUACCCCAAACCGACACAGGUGGUCGGGUAGAGAAUACCAAGGCGCUUGAGAGAACUCGGGUGAAGGAACUAGGCAAAAUGGUACCGUAACUUCGGGAGAAGGUACGCUCUUGAUGGUGAAGUCCCUUGCGGAUGGAGCUGACGAGAGUCGCAGAUACCAGGUGGCUGCAACUGUUUAUUAAAAACACAGCACUGUGCAAAAUCGUAAGAUGACGUAUACGGUGUGACGCCUGCCCGGUGCCGGAAGGUUAAUUGAUGGGGUUAGACUUCGGUCGAAGCUCUUGAUCGAAGCCCCGGUAAACGGCGGCCGUAACUAUAACGGUCCUAAGGUAGCGAAAUUCCUUGUCGGGUAAGUUCCGACCUGCACGAAUGGCGUAAUGAUGGCCACGCUGUCUCCACCCGAGACUCAGUGAAAUUGAAAUCGCUGUGAAGAUGCAGUGUACCCGCGGCUAGACGGAAAGACCCCGUGAACCUUUACUACAGCUUGGCACUGAACAUUGACCCUACAUGUGUAGGAUAGGUGGGAGGCUUUGAAGCACGUACGCCAGUAUGUGUGGAGCCGUCCUUGAAAUACCACCCUUGUAGUGUUGAUGUUCUAACGUCGACCCCUUAUCGGGGUUGCGGACAGUGCCUGGUGGGUAGUUUGACUGGGGCGGUCUCCUCCCAAAGAGUAACGGAGGAGCACGAAGGUGGGCUAAUCACGGUUGGACAUCGUGAGGUUAGUGCAAUGGCAUAAGCCCGCUUGACUGCGAGAAUGACAAUUCGAGCAGGUGCGAAAGCAGGUCAUAGUGAUCCGGUGGUUCUGAAUGGAAGGGCCAUCGCUCAACGGAUAAAAGGUACUCCGGGGAUAACAGGCUGAUACCGCCCAAGAGUUCAUAUCGACGGCGGUGUUUGGCACCUCGAUGUCGGCUCAUCACAUCCUGGGGCUGAAGUCGGUCCCAAGGGUAUGGCUGUUCGCCAUUUAAAGUGGUACGCGAGCUGGGUUUAGAACGUCGUGAGACAGUUCGGUCCCUAUCUGCCGUGGGCGUUGGAAGAUUGAAGGGGGCUGCUCCUAGUACGAGAGGACCGGAGUGGACGAACCUCUGGUGUUCGGGUUGUGUCGCCAGACGCAUUGCCCGGUAGCUAAGUUCGGAAUCGAUAACCGCUGAAAGCAUCUAAGCGGGAAGCGAGCCCUGAGAUGAGUCUUCCCUGAUACUUUAAGUAUCCUAAAGGGUUGUCGGAGACUACGACGUUGAUAGGUCAGGUGUGUAAGUGCUGUGAGGCAUUGAGCUAACUGAUACUAAUUGCCCGUGAGGCUUAACCA
rnacentral:rRNA from 1 species